AUUGAACGCUGGCGGCAUGCCUUACACAUGCAAGUCGAACGGCAGCACGGGGCAACCUGGUGGCGAGUGGCGAACGGGUGAGUAAUGCAUCGGAACGUACCUUUCAGUGGGGGAUAACGUAGCGAAAGUUACGCUAAUACCGCAUAUUCUGUGAGCAGGAAAGCAGGGGAUCGCAAGACCUUGCGCUGAUUGAGCGGCCGAUGUCAGAUUAGCUAGUUGGUGAGGUAAAGGCUCACCAAGGCGGCGAUCUGUAGCGGGUCUGAGAGGAUGAUCCGCCACACUGGAACUGAGACACGGUCCAGACUCCUACGGGAGGCAGCAGUGGGGAAUUUUGGACAAUGGGGGCAACCCUGAUCCAGCCAUGCCGCGUGAGGGAAGAAGGCCUUCGGGUUGUAAAGCUCUUUCGGCCGGGAAGAAAUCGCACAGGUUAAUACCUUGUGUGGAUGACGGUACCGGAAUAAGAAGCACCGGCUAACUACGUGCCAGCAGCCGCCGUAAUAC
rnacentral:rRNA from 1 species